ACAAUAGCUGUACAUGAUCUUCGAGGAACAAGUGUUAUUUGAUGUUUGAAACAAAAUGGAUUUUAAGAUCGCAUAUUAUAUAUUUUUUCUUUUAGUUGGAGCAUGUAUCUGUCAAGCUUAUUACACUACUACCACUGCAGCUCCCCAAACGUUAAGCAGUGGAGUCAUAGCAGGAAUUGUGAUCGGUGUAAUGAUGACCAUCGGCGGUUGUUGUGUCUGCUUUUGUUGUUGUUGUCUUGGGGCUUCACAAGUAUCGUCUGGUUAACGCAACGAAAGAAUUGAUGAAAACAGCCUUCUUUAUAAAACUGUGUUCAUGAGAAAAUUGAUUGAUAUUUGAAUUUAACAGAGUCUGGUUAUGUCUACUUUAACUUGAGGAGGCUGAAUGGUUAAAAAAAAAAUUCAACUAUUACUAAUGUGUCCUUAAUAUUUAGAUAUACUUUGUAAGCUAUAAACGAUCAUGUAUCAAAUAAAUAUAUAUAACUUUUAGCUUUUGGGUUUAAAUAUUAUCCGGUGUCUUUAUUUUGAGUUCUUCUUUUUAGAAAGAUCAACACAGUCUAAAAAUAACCAUCGCCAUUCAUCUAUUAUAAAAACUAAUACUAUUAAUGACUGGCAUUGUAGUUUUUAAUAUCAAGAAUGUUUCAACGCCAAAAGAUGAUUGCAGUUUAAAGUACAUAUGAAGGCGUUAUGAUCGAACAAAAAACCCAAUUGUAAAUACAUUGUAAAUUAUACAUUGAUAUACUGUCGAUUUAUACAGGUAGAUUCUGUACUGUACCUAAUGACUAAAUUAUAAGAAAGAUGGAAGAAAUAUACAGGUUAUGUAUUUCACUGAUAUCUAAUACUAACAGUUAAAAUGCUUUUUUUUUUCCAUUCACUUAAAUCAACAUUGAGUAUCUAUGGACAGUUUGUCACUGUUUUUGCUAUGCACAUUUGGUCACUGUUUUUGCUAUGUACAGUUAGUCACUGUUUUUGAGACGUUAUGGCAAAAAAUACCCCAAAUGCACAAACACGACAAAUUAGCGUCUUUGUUUUUCUAGAGAUGAACUUUUGUGUUGAUUAUAAAUUUAAAAAAAUAUAUAGUU
rnacentral:sRNA from 1 species